rnacentral:rRNA from 1 species
GACGAACGCUGGCGGCGUGCCUAAUACAUGCAAGUAGAACGCUGAAGAGAGGAGCUUGCUCUUCUUGGAUGAGUUGCGAACGGGUGAGUAACGCGUAGGUAACCUGCCUUGUAGCGGGGGAUAACUAUUGGAAACGAUAGCUAAUACCGCAUAACAAUGGAUGACCCAUGUCAUUUAUUUGAAAGGGGCAAAUGCUCCACUACAAGAUGGACCUGCGUUGUAUUAGCUAGUAGGUGAGGUAACGGCUCACCUAGGCGACGACACAUAGCCGACCUGAGAGGGUGAUCGGCCACACUGGGACUGAGACACGGCCCAGACUCCUACGGGAGGCAGCAGUAGGGAAUCUUCGGCAAUGGGGGCAACCCUGACCGAGCAACGCCGCGUGAGUGAAGAAGGUUGUCGGAUCGUAAAGCUCUGUUGUAAGUCAAGAACGAGUGUGAGAGUGGAAAGUUCACACUGUGACGGUAGCUUACCAGAAAGGGACGGCUAACUACGUG